rnacentral:rRNA from 1 species
CCUACGGGUGGCAGCAGUGGGGGAUAUUGCACAAUGGGGGGAACCCUGAUGCAGCGACGCCGCGUGGGUGAAGAAGCGCCUCGGCGCGUAAAGCCCUGUCAGCCGGGAAGAAAAUGACGGUACUUGAAGAAGAAGCCCCGGCUAACUACGUGCCCGCAGCCGCGGGAAAACGUAGGGGGCAGGCGUUAUCCGGAUUUACUGGGUGUAAAGGGGGCGCAGGCGGGGAUGCAAGCCCGGAGUGAAAGCCCGGGGCCCAACCCCGGGACUGCUCUUGGAACUGCGUGGCUGGAGUGCAGGAGGGGCAGGCGGAAUGCCCGGUGUAGCGGUGAAAUGCGUAGAUAUCGGGAGGAACACCGGUGGCGAAGGCGGCCUGCUGGACUGCAACUGACGUUGAGGCCCGAAAGCGUGGGGAGCGAACAGGAUUAGAUACCCGAGUAGUC